rnacentral:rRNA from 1 species
AUUUAACUCUUUCUUUAGGCCUAACACAUGCAAGUCGAACGGCAGCACAGUAAGAGCUUGCUCUUACGGGUGGCGAGUGGCGGACGGGUGAGGAAUACAUCGGAAUCUACUUUUUCGUGGGGGAUAACGUAGGGAAACUUACGCUAAUACCGCAUACGACCUACGGGUGAAAGCAGGGGAUCUUCGGACCUUGCGCGAUUGAAUGAGCCGAUGUCGGAUUAGCUAGUUGGCGGGGUAAAGGCCCACCAAGGCGACGAUCCGUAGCUGGUCUGAGAGGAUGAUCAGCCACACUGGAACUGAGACACGGUCCAGACUCCUACGGGAGGCAGCAGUGGGGAAUAUUGGACAAUGGGCGCAAGCCUGAUCCAGCCAUACCGCGUGGGUGAAGAAGGCCUUCGGGUUGUAAAGCCCUUUUGUUGGGAAAGAAAAGCAGCAGGUUAAUACCCCGCUGUUCUGACGGUACCCAAAGAAUAAGCACCGGCUAACUUCGUG